GACGAACGCUGGCGGCGUGCCUAAUACAUGCAAGUCGAACGGUCUUUUCUAUGGAAGCUUGCUUCCACUGAGAAGAUAGUGGCGAACGGGUGAGUAACACGUGGGUAACCUGCCCAUAAGAGGGGGAUAACGUCCGGAAACGGGGGCUAAUACCGCAUAGGUUUCUUGGUCGCAUGAUCGGGAAAGGAAAGACGGCCUUUGUGCUGUCGCUUAUGGAUGGACCCGCGGCGUAUUAGUUAGUUGGUGAGGUAACGGCUCACCAAGACGAUGAUACGUAGCCGACCUGAGAGGGUGAUCGGCCACAUUGGGACUGAGACACGGCCCAAACUCCUACGGGAGGCAGCAGUAGGGAAUCUUCCGCAAUGGACGAAAGUCUGACGGAGCAACGCCGCGUGAGUGAAGAAGGUUUUCGGAUCGUAAAACUCUGUUGUCAGAGAAGAACAAGUCGGAGAGUAACUGCUCCGGCCUUGACGGUAUCUGACCAGAAAGCCACGGCUAACUACGUGCCAGCAGCCGCCGUAACAC
rnacentral:rRNA from 1 species